GAUGAACGCUGGCGGCGUGCCUAAUACAUGCAAGUCGAGCGAACGGACGAGAAGCUUGCUUCUCUGAUGUUAGCGGCGGACGGGUGAGUAACACGUGGAUAACCUACCUAUAAGACUGGGGUAACUUCGGGAAACCGUAGCUAAUACCGGAUAAUAUUUUGAACCGCAUGGUUCAAAAGUGAAAGACGGCCUUGCUGUCACUUAUAGAUGGAUCCGCGCUGCAUUAGCUAGUUGGUAUGGUAACGGCUUACCAAGGCAACGAUGCGUAACCGACGUGAGAGGGUGAUCGGCGACACUGGAACGGGGACGCGGUCCAGACUCCUACGGGAGGCAGCAGUAGGGAAUCUUCGGCAAUGGGCGAAAGCAUGACGGAGCAGCGCCGCGUGAGUGAUGAAGGUCUUCGGAUCGUAAAGCUCUGUUAUUGGGGAAGAACAGAUGUGUCAGUAGCUGUGCACAUCUUGACGGUACCUAAUCAGGAAGCCACGGCUAACUACGUG
rnacentral:rRNA from 1 species